GUUUGGGAUUUUUUCCGGAUACGGAGGAGAAACGUUUUCAACGUUUCAGCAGCUCCAACAUCCAGCACUACUGGUGCAUCAGAGACUUUCAACACUUAACUCUAUGCAACAAAUGUGAUUAUUAUGAAAUAAU